rnacentral:rRNA from 1 species
AGGUNCUGCAUGGCNGUNGUCAGCNNGUNUUNUNAAAUGUUGGGUUNAGUNCCGCAACGAGCGCAACCCCUAUCCUUAUUUGCCAGGGGGACGACGUCAAGUCAUCAUGGCCCUUACGGGAUGGGCUACACACGUGCUACAAUGGCAAGUACAGAGGGCAGCAAUACCGCGAGGUGGAGCGAAUCCCACAAAGCUUGUCGUAGUCCGGAUUGGAGUCUGCAACUCGACUCCAUGAAGUCGGAAUCGCUAGUAAUCGUGGAUCAGAAUGCCACGGUGAAUACGUUCCCGGGCCUUGUACACACCGCCCGUCACACCAUGGGAGUAGGUUGCAAAAGAAGUGGCUAGUUUAACCUUCGGGAGGACGGUCACCACUUUGUGAU